GACGAACGCUGGCGGCGUGCCUAAUACAUGCAAGUUGAGCGCUGAAGGUUGGUACUUGUACCAACUGGAUGAGCAGCGAACGGGUGAGUAACGCGUGGGGAAUCUGCCUUUGAGCGGGGGACAACAUUUGGAAACGAAUGCUAAUACCGCAUAAAAACUUUAAACACAAGUUUUAAGUUUGAAAGAUGCACUUGCAUCACUCAAAGAUGAUCCCGCGUUGUAUUAGCUAGUUGGUGAGGUAAAGGCUCACCAAGGCGAUGAUACAUAGCCGACCUGAGAGGGGGAUCGGCCACAUUGGGACUGAGACACGGCCCAAACUCCUACGGGAGGCAGCAGUAGGGAAUCUUCGGCAAUGGACGAAAGUCUGACCGAGCAACGCCGCGUGAGUGAAGAAGGGUUUCGGAUCGUAAAACUCUGUUGGUAGAGAAGAACGUUGGUGAGAGUGGAAAGCUCAUCAAGUGACGGUAACUACCCAGAAAGGGACGGCUAACUACGUG
rnacentral:rRNA from 1 species